UCCCUGGUGGCUCAGAUGGUAAAGCGUCUGCCUGCAAUGCAGGAGAUGCAGGUUCGAUUCCUGGGUCGGGAA
rnacentral:tRNA from 1 species